ACUCUCGUAGCUCAGCGGAAGAGCAGGAGUCUUCGAAACUCAAGGUCGCAGGUUCGAAUCCUGCCGGGAGUA
rnacentral:tRNA from 1 species